rnacentral:rRNA from 1 species
GACGAACGCUGGCGGCGUGCCUAAUACAUGCAAGUAGAACGCUGAAGGAGGAGCUUGCUCUUCUGGAUGAGUUGCGAACGGGUGAGUAACGCGUAGGUAACCUGCCUGGUAGCGGGGGAUAACUAUUGGAAACGAUAGCUAAUACCGCAUAACAGUAGAUGUUGCAUGACAUUUACUUAAAAGGUGCAAUUGCAUCACUACCAGAUGGACCUGCGUUGUAUUAGCUAGUUGGUGGGGUAACGGCUCACCAAGGCGACGAUACAUAGCCGACCUGAGAAGGUGAUCGGCCACACUGGGACUGGGACACGGCCCAGACUCCUACGGGAGGCAGCAGUAGGGAAUCUUCGGCAAUGGACGGAAGUCUGACCGAGCAACGCCGCGUGAGUGAAGAAGGGUUUCGGAUCGUAAAGCUCUGUUGUAAGGGAAGAACGAGUGUGAGAGUGGAAAGUUCACACUGUGACGGUAUCUUACCAGAAAGGGACGGCUAACUACGUG